UCAAGAGGGAAAUAGCCCAGAUCACCAGAUAAGGCCCCCAAAUAACUACUAAGUGAAAAAGGAUGUAUUAACACAUAGACGACCAGGAGGUUUGCUUAGAAGCAGCCAUCUUCCUUUAAAAAUUGCGUAAUAGCUUACUGGUUAAGUGUUUUUGCGCCGAUAAUGAAUGGGGCUAAGUAGUUUGCCGAAGCUGUGAGUAUAUAACGGUAGGAGAGCGUUCUGUUUGGGCUGAAGCAGUAAUGAAAAUAAUUGUGGACUAUACAGAAGUGAGAAUGUCGGCUUAAGUAACGAAAACAUUGGUGGGAAUCCAAUGCUCCGAAAACCUAAGGUUUCCUUCUCAAGGUUCGUCCAAGAAGGGUUAGUCAGAUUCUAAGAUGAAGCCUAAUGGUUUAUUCGAUGAUAAACAGGUUAAUAUUCCUGUACUACAUAGUGGAAUCAAUUAAGGAGGACAAAGUAAGUUAGGUUUGCCAAAGAUUGGUUGUUUUGGUUUAAGCUUUCGAGGUGUUGAUGGAUAUAAUUAAAAAAUAUUCUGAGCUAAGAAGUGAAAUUAAGAUGCUACGGUGUUGAAAAAACUGAUAUUAAGCUUUCUAGAAAAUUCCUUGCAAUGGCAUUUCCGUGUAGCUGUACCGUAAACCGACACAGGUGGGUAGGUAGAAAAUACUAAGGAGAGCGAGUUAAAUCUUUUUAAGGAACUCGGCAAAUUAGCCUUGUAACUUCGGGAGAAAAGGUGCCUUAUGAGAAUAAGGUUGCAGUGAAUAGUUCCAGGCGACUGCUUACCAAAAGCACAGGUCUCCGCUAAGUUGUAAAACGAUGUAUGGGGGCUGAUGCCUGCCCAGUGCUGGAAGGUAAAAGAAACUUGUUAGUGUUUACACAAAGCUAGUGACUGAAGCCCCAGUAAACGGCGGUGAUAACUAUAAUCAUUUUAAAGUAGCGAAAUUCCUUGUCGGGUAAGUUCCGACCUGCACGAAAGGCAUAACGAUCUGGAAACUGUCUCAAAAAGAUUCUCGGUGAAAUAGAAUUAACUGUGAAGAUGCGGUUAACUUGCACUUGGACAGAAAGACCCUAUGAAGCUUUACAGUAGCCUGAUAUUGGUUUCGGACUUUUUUUGCGCAGAAUAGGUGGGAGGCGUUGAAGCAUUUUUUUGGAAAUGUGGAGCCAUCAGUGAGAUACCACUCUGAAAAAGUUAGAGAUCUAAAGAUAUUUCCUUAAUAAAGGAUAUUUGACAGUGUCAGGUGGGCAGUUUUACUGGGGCGGUAGCCUCCCAAAAGGUAACGGAGGCGUACAAAGGUUUUCUCAAACAGGCCGGAAAUUUGUUGGAGAGUGUAAAGGCAUAAGAAAGCUUAACUGUUAGACCUAUAAGUCAAGCAGGGACGAAAGUCGGUCUUAGUGAUCCGGCAGUUCCAUAUGUGAGGGCUGUCGCAUAACAGAUAAAAGUUACUCUAGGGAUAACAGGCUGAUCUCCUCCAAGAGUUCACAUCGACGAGGAGGUUUGGCACCUCGAUGUCGGCUCAUCGCAUCCUGGGGCAGUAGUAUGUCCCAAGGGUUGGGCUGUUCGCCCAUUAAAGCGGUACGUGAGCUGGGUUCAGAACGUCGAGAGACAGUUCGGUCCAUAUCCGGUGCAAGCGUAGGAGUAUUGAAAGGACCUUUUUUUAGUACGAGAGGACCGAAAAAGACACACCUCUGGUGUACCAGUUCUUAUGCCAAUAGGAUAUGCUGGGUAGUCAAGUGUGGAGUGGAUAACUGC
rnacentral:rRNA from 1 species